rnacentral:lncRNA from 1 species
UUUGAUCCUUUGAUUCCUAAUUUUGACAUAAUUAAUAAUUCAACAAUGUUCAUACAAUGCAUGAUAAAUCUAAUAUUUGAAUUGAGCAAGAUUUCAGGAACCAUAAUCAAACCCUACACACUUGGAUCAAAUUGCUUGGAACACAAGAAAUCAACAAAAGUUGAAUUCUGAAUAUGUAAAUCGAUUGGGAAAUCGAUUUCAUAACAAGAGUGUAAGGAAAUCCUAAGUGUUUGUGAAUGUGCAAUCGAUUAGGCAAUCGAUU